rnacentral:rRNA from 1 species
GACGCUCAUGCACGAAAGCGUGGGGAGCAAACAGGAUUAGAUACCCUGGUAGUCCACGCCCUAAACGAUGUCAACUAGCUGUUGGGGCCUUCGGGCCUUGGUAGCGCAGCUAACGCGUGAAGUUGACGCCUGGGGAGUACGGUCGCAAGAUUAAAACUCAAAGGAAUUGACGGGGACCCGCACAAGCGGUGGAUGAUGUGGAUUAAUUCGAUGCAAC